UACGUAGGGUGCAAGCGUUGUCCGGAAUUAUUGGGCGUAAAGCGCUUGUAGGCGGUUUGUCGCGUCUGCUGUGAAAUUUCGGGGCUCAACCCCGAACUUGCAGUGGGUACGGGCAGACUAGAGUGUGGUAGGGGAGACUGGAAUUCCUGGUGUAGCGGUGAAAUGCGUAGAUAUCGGGAGGAACAUCGAUGGCGAAGGCAAUCACCUGGGCCUGGACUGACACUGUGACACGAAAGCGUGGGUAGCAAACAGG
rnacentral:rRNA from 1 species